rnacentral:rRNA from 1 species
GAGUUUGAUCAUGGCUCAGGAUGAACGCUGGCGGCGUGCUUAACACAUGCAAGUCGAACGAGGAAUUUUAAAUGAGACUUCGGUGGAUUUUAAAAUUCUUAGUGGCGGACGGGUGAGUAACGCGUGGGCAACCUGCCCUGUACAGGGGGACAACAGCUGGAAACGGCUGCUAAUACCACAUAAGACCACGGAGCCGCAUGGCUCAGUGGGAAAAACUCCGGUGGUACAGGAUGGGCCCGCGUUGGAUUAGGUAGUUGGUGAGGUAACGGCCCACCAAGCCGACGAUCCAUAGCCGACCUGAGAGGGUGACCGGCCACGUUGGGACUGAGACACGGCCCAAAACUCCUACGGGAGGCAGCAGUGGGGAAUCUUCCGCAAUGGGCGAAAGCCUGACGGAGCAACGCCGCGUGAGUGAAGAAUUAUUUCGGUAUGUAAAGCUCUAUCAGCAGGG